rnacentral:rRNA from 1 species
UAAACGACUCUCGGCAACGGAUAUCUCGGCUCUCGCAUCGAUGAAGAACGUAGCGAAAUGCGAUACUUGGUGUGAAUUGCAGAAUCCCGUGAACCAUCGAGUCUUUGAACGCAAGUUGCGCCCGAAGCCUUUUGGCUAAGGGCACGUCUGCCUGGGCGUCACGC